AACAGUGGAAAAAGUGACAGACUUUAUUUUUGGGGCUCCAAAAUCACUGCAGAUGGUGACUGCAGCCAUGAAAUUAAAAGACGCUUGCUCCGUGGAAGAAAAGUUAUGAACAACCUAGACAGCAUAUUAAAAAGCAGAGACAUUACUUUACCAACAAAGGUCUGUCUAGUCAAGGCUAUGGUUUUUCCAGAGUCAUGUAUGGAUGUGAGAGUUGAAAUAUAAAGAAAGUUGGAUUGUUCCUUUUAAAUUGUGGUGUUGGAGAAGACUCUUGAGAAUCCCUUGCACUACAAGGAGAUCCAAAGGAGUCUAACCAGGAGAUCAGUCUUGGGUGUUCAUUGGAAGGACUGAUGUUGAAGCUAAAACUUUAAUACUUGGCCAUCUGAUGUGAAGAACUAACUCAUUGGAAAAGACCCCGAUCCUGGGAAAGAUUGAAGGCAGGAGGAGAAGGGGACGAGAGAGGACGAGAUGGUUAGAUGGCAUCACGAACUCAACGGACAUGAGUUUGGAUAAACCCCGGGAGUUGGCGAUAGACAGGGAGGCCUGGUGUGCUGGAGUCCAUGGGGUCGCAAAGAGUCGGACACAACUGAGCGACUGAACUGAACGGAACAGAUCACAUAAAAUUUACCAUCCUAACUGUACAUUUCAGCAGCGUGAAAUACAUUCUCAUGGUUAUGCAGCCCAUCUCCAGAUGUCUUUUCAUCUUCUCAGACUGAAGCUCCGUCGCCUUUAAACACCCUUUCCCCCUACACUCAUGCUUCGCCUUUCUGUCGAUGAAUCUGGCCACUCUGGGGACCUCAUACAAGUGGAAUCAAACCGCGUUUGUCCCUCUGGGUCUGCCUUCUGUCACGCAGUGCUACGUCGUCAAGGUCCACCCAGGCCGACCUGUGUCAAAAGCGCCUUCCUUUUUCAGACUUAGUAACAUUCCAAGACACUUCCAGGCCCGGACGCCGCAGGAGUGAGGCCUGCAGGACCGGGCGGGAACCCGGGGCCAGGUCCGCCCAGGUGCGGACGGGCGGCGGGAGGGCGGAGCGGCUCCACCCG
ensembl:lncRNA